GUAAGCAAAGCGAAGUGAUGAAUAGAGUAUAGCUAGAGAUGGUCUAGAGAUUAUGAGAUGCAUAGAUGGUGAAAGUGGAAAGAUGAGAAUGAGCUGUGAGAUGGGAGUCAGAUUUAAGGCAAGUAUCCUAUACCCUUCUUUUGGAUAUCUUGCGAUUAUUCUGAUCCAUUAUUCUCGUAUGUGUUGCAAAUAUUCGUUCCUCUCUUUUUCAUAUUUGGCAAGUGCAAAUAUUUUUAUCCAUCCUUUUCUAAUCCUCAAAAAUUCAGAUAAUUCCAGUUUUACAAAUUAAUUCGAAGUUCAGAUUGUCAUUGAAGCAUGUGUUGCUCAGUGAUGAUUAGAACCUAGAAUGACUUGGGAUCUUCUUGAUUAUUCAACCCGCCAUUGUCAUGCUGGUUUAGCAGGCUAAAUUCAGUUGCUUAGCCGAUAAUGGAGGAUACUGAAUAGUUAAGGAUUUCCUGAACUAUGAUUUAUGGAAGGAUGGACUCUGGUUUAUGAAAAGUUGAUUAUCAAAGUUUGAUUUGGAAUUAUUCUAUCAUGGAUAUUGAUUGUGUUUAUGUUCUGUUGUUAUACGUUGACCUGUUAUUGAAUUAUAGAAUUGGAUUAUUGUUUUUAUAUAAACCUGUGGACCAGAUUCGUGGUCAUGUUAGGCCAAUGAGUGCCUUGGAUCCAGUGAUAGAGCAUGGCGGGGCCUGCUCGGGGUUAGUGCGGAACUGAUCAGCUGCCUAACCUUGGUUUUAAUUAAAAUGUAAUAGUCCAAUUCAAUAAUUCUUUGGAAAGAUUGAAUUUCUCAGUUUAAAUGAUGCAAGGUAUUGUAAAUCAUUCUAUACAAUACCAUGAACUCAUGAACUCAGGUUGAAUUCUCUUAUAUCUUGAACUCGUGAACUUCUGUUAUAUCAUUUCAGAACUAUCAUUGUUUAUUAUUACUUGCUGAGCAUUGUUGCUCACCCUUGCUAUUCCUUUCUAACCAUUUCAGAAAGGCUGAAAGAUAAGAUGAUUGAUUGAGAUUGUGGAUAAGGCUAAUGCUAGGCGAGGAGACAGAGUUGAGGAUCCAGUGGUCGAGGAGUAUUCAGGAAAGUUGAUAAGGUUGGUGCUAGCUAGAGUUAUGCUAUGAAGUUUCAGAUGUAAGUCAUGGCUGGAGUAAGUUGACAGUGAUUCUUCUUAUCGAAGAUGAUCUGAUUUGGUAAGGGAUGUUGUGUAGUAUUAGUGGUGGAUUCUAAUUUCAAUACUGUAACCUGGAAGCGAUCCUGUUGUUUUUGGGGGUUAAAAUGUUCUCUUUCGAAUCAGCUAUUAAAGUUUAAAUGUUCUCUGAAAAGUUCUUUUAUGAUGGUUUUCAAAUUUAAAAUUCAGGUUUUGAAAUCAUUUGAUUUAUGUUCUCAUACAAAUCUUUUAUUAAAUGUUUCAAGUUUUAAAUUCUUGUGGAUUUUCAUUAUCUUUAAUAAAAAUACAGGGUUUCACAAGUGUUUUAAAAAGGGUUUUGUGUGGUGACGUCAG
rnacentral:lncRNA from 1 species